UUAUUUAUAUAGUAUAUAUAUUAUUACAAUUAAUUUCCAAUUAAUAAAAUUAAAUAAUUUUAAUAUAAAUAAU
rnacentral:tRNA from 1 species